rnacentral:rRNA from 1 species
UACGUAGGGGGCAAGCGUUGUUCGGAAUUAUUGGGCGUAAAGGGCGCGUAGGCGGUCGGAUAAGUCUUGUGUGAAAUCUUCGGGCUCAACUCGAAGUCUGCACGAGAAACUGUCUGGCUUGAGUGUGGGAGAGGUGAGUGGAAUUCCUGGUGUAGCGGUGAAAUGCGUAGAUAUCAGGAGGAACACCUGUGGCGAAAGCGGCUCACUGGACCACAACUGACGCUGAGGCGCGAAAGCUAGGGGAGCAAACAGG